AGAGUUUGAUCCUGGCUCAGGACGAACGCUGGCGGCGCGCCUAACACAUGCAAGUCGAACGGAAUAUUUUUCUACUUCAAGUUUUUUGCUUGUUUGAGGAAAGCGUCAAUCAGUGCGCAGCACUGAUUUAGGCCUUUUAGUAAGCUAACACAUGCAGAAAAGAACGAGCGGAAGAUUUGAAGUAGAAAAAUAUUUAGUGGCGAACGGGUGAGUAACGCGUGAGGAACCUGCCUCAAAGAGGGGGACAACAGUUGGAAACGACUGCUAAUACCGCAUAAGCCCACGGGGCCGCAUGGCCCUGAGGGAAAAGGAGCAAUCCGCUUUGAGAUGGCCUCGCGUCCGAUUAGCUGGUUGGUGAGGUAACGGCCCACCAAGGCGACGAUCGGUAGCCGGACUGAGAGGUUGAACGGCCACAUUGGGACUGAGACACGGCCCAGACUCCUACGGGAGGCAGCAGUGGGGAAUAUUGCACAAUGGGGGAAACCCUGAUGCAGCGACGCCGCGUGGAGGAAGAAGGUCUUCGGAUUGUAAACUCCUGUUGUUGGGGAAAAGAAGGAUGGUACCCAACAAGGAAGUGACGGCUAACUACGUGCCAGCAGCCGCGGUAAAACGUAGGUCACGAGCGUUGUCCGGAAUUACUGGGUGUAAAGGGAGCGCAGGCGGGUAUGCAAGUUGGGAGUGAAAUACAUGGGCUCAACCCAUGAACUGCUCUCAAAACUGUGUAUCUUGAGUAGUGCAGAGGUAGGCGGAAUUCCCGGUGUAGCGGUGGAAUGCGUAGAUAUCGGGAGGAACACCAGUGGCGAAGGCGGCCUACUGGGCACCAACUGACGCUGAGGCUCGAAAGUGUGGGUAGCAAACAGGAUUAGAUACCCUGGUAGUCCACACCGUAAACGAUGAUUACUAGGUGU
rnacentral:rRNA from 1 species